CAAGAUGUAGCUUAAACCCAAAGCAUUCAGCUUACACCUGAAAAAUGUCCACAACUGAACCACCUUGA
rnacentral:tRNA from 1 species